AUGACGUCUUGUCAUAUUAUAACCUUGCACCGGCUCUGAAUCGUCUUCUAGGGCGCUGAAUGGUGUUCUGUUUUCGUUGAUCGCAUGGAAAAGGCCCUAUUUAAACUCUGCGGGUUCAUGUUUGGAAGAAAAACUAAAGUAGAACACUUUGGUUCUUGCGGUGUUUGGUUUGGUCCUAUAUAAAGAUAGAAGAAACAAGUUGGGAAUGUUGGUCCUGUGAACAACUAAAAAUUAGUUGGAGUGUUUCAGAUUGCUCUGGAGUCACCAUGGUGCAUUCUUGUUUUAUUGCUGUUUUCUGAGGUGGAAAUCUGCUUGAAGCAAAGUAUUUCUUAUCUUUACGGAAUCUUUCAUAAACAUAAAACAUGAAGAAAAAAUAAUAUUUUGAGCAAAAAAUUUGACAAUGUAUAUAAAUAUGGAUCAUAUGAGAAA